GCUCGGAAGACGGACUUAGUGAUCGGGUGGUGCCGCAUGGAAGGGCCACCGCUCAACGGAUAAAAGCGACCACGGGGAUAACAGGCUUAUCUCCCCCAGGGGUUCACAUCGACGGGGAGGUUUGGCCCCUCGAUGUCGGCUCACCGCCGCCAGGGGCUGUGGUCGGUCCCAAGCGUUGGGCUGUUCGCCCGUUAAGGCGGUGCGCGUGCUGGGUUGAGAACGUCGUGGGACAGUUCGGUCCCUAUCCGUCGUGGGCGUAGGAAAUUUGAGAGGAGCUGUCCUUAGUACGAGAGGACCGGGAUGGACAUACCUCUGGUGUACCAGUUGUCGUGCCAACGGCAUAGCUGGGUAGCUAUGUAUGGACGGGAUAAGUGCUGAAAGCAUCUAAGCA
rnacentral:rRNA from 1 species